GACAGAGGGUGCAACCGUUGCUCGGAAUCACUGGGCGUAAAGGGCGUGUAGGCGGGAAGGCAAGUCAGAUGUGAAAUCCCUGGGCUCAACCCAGGAACUGCAUUUGAAACUCCCUUUCUUGAGUGUCGGAGAGGAAAGUGGAAUUCCAGGUGUAGCGGUGAAAUGCGUAGAUAUCUGGAGGAACACCGGUGGCGAAGGCGACAUCCUGGACCGGUAUUGACGCUGAGGCGCGAAAGCCAGGGGAGCAAACGGG
rnacentral:rRNA from 1 species